UACGGAGGAUCCGAGCGUUAUCCGGAUUUAUUGGGUUUAAAGGGAGCGUAGGUGGAUUGUUAAGUCAGUUGUGAAAGUUUGCGGCUCAACCGUAAAAUUGCAGUUGAAACUGGCAGUCUUGAGUACAGUAGAGGUGGGCGGAAUUCGUGGUCUAGCGGUGAAAUGCUUAGAUAUCACGAAGAACUCCGAUUGCGAAGGCAGCUCACUGGACUGCAACUGACACUGAGGCUCGAAAGUGUGGGUAUCAAACAGG
rnacentral:rRNA from 1 species